rnacentral:rRNA from 1 species
AAGGGCGCACGGUGAAUGCCUAGGCACUAACAGCCGAAGAAGGACGUGACGAACUACGAAAAGCUUCGGGGAGCGGUAAGUACGCAGUGAUCCGGAGAUAUCCGAAUGGGGGAACCCAAUGCAGAGAUGCAUUAUUGAUUAGUGAAUAGAU